GUGUCAGCAGCCGCGGUAACACCGGCAGCUCAAGUGGUAGCCGCUUUUAUUGGGCCUAAAGCGUCCGUAGCCGGUCUGAUAAGUCUCUGGUGAAAUCCCACAGCUUAACUGUGGGAAUUGCUGGAGAUACUAUCAUGACUCGAGGUCGGGAGAGGCUGGAGGUACUCCCAGGGUAGGGGUGAAAUCCUGUAAUCCUGGGAGGACCACCUGUGGCGAAGGCGUCCAGCUGGAACGAACCUGACGGUGAGGGACGAAAGCCAGGGGCGCGAACCGGAUUAGAUACCCGGGUAGUCCUGGCCGUAAACGAUGUGGACUUGGUGUUGGGAUGGCUUCGAGCUGCCCCAGUGCCGAAGGGAAGCUGUUAAGUCCACCGCCUGGGAAGUACGGCCGCAAGGCUGAA
rnacentral:rRNA from 1 species